CUUGGCUUUAAAAUCUGGUUUUGGAGUUAGCACGGUGUCAGAAGGAGCAAGUGCUCCUCAAUCUAGGAAGUUUAGGUUAGAUAUUUGGAGGAAGUUUUUCACCCAGAGGGUGGUGAUGCACUGGAACAGGUUGCCCAAGGAGGCUGUGGAUGCCCCAUCCCUGGAGGCAUUCAAGGCCAGGCUGGAUGUGGCUCUGGGCAGCAUGGUCUGCUGGUUGGCGACCCUGCACAUAGCAGGGGGGUUGAAACUAGAAGAGCACUGUGGUCCUUUUCAACCCAGGCCAUUCUAUGAUUCUAUGAAUCGAGACAUCCAAGAAUUAUAGCUCUGUCUCUUCCUGUGUUUCCUGAAGGAGAAGAGUUCCCCAAGGCACAACCUUGCACAGAGGGCUCAGGUGCUCACCUGACCUUUAAGUUCUCCUAUACCAUAUGCAGGGGGAAAAAGAGCAAAUCCCAACCACCAAGAAAAAAAAAAAAAAAGGGAAAAAAGAAUCAGGAAAUUUAAGCUUAUAACUUCAGGCCACGAUAUAUUUAGCAGUUCCCUAGCGUGCUGCAAUGUUCUUAAUUGCUGUUGUCGGAACAUAUGCAGGAGAAGUAGCUGCUGUUUUAGGAAAUGAAAGCCCUUUGCAUACAGUUUGGGGCACAAUUGCCAUUAGGCCGAUGAGGGAAGUGGAGGCUGUGGGGGUCAGACAGCAUGAUGCAUGCACCCAUAUUCAUACCCAUCCUAUUGCAUCACAGCACUUUGACUUGCAAGUGAGCAGUCUUCACUGACAUAACAUGUAAUGUACGGGGGAAGAACAGACACAGAGUUAUCACGAGGCAAGAUUAAAACUCUUCACUUGAUCUGUAUUGAUUUUCUUUCUGCAGCAGUAUCUGCCUGAGCAUACAUCUUCCCGUUUCCACCCCGCUGCUGGGCAGGAGGGGACACGCAGCGUACAUCACAUGGCAGAGAAACAGCUGCUGGCAUCCCUGAGUGGGCACAAAUUACUCACCUCUCACCAGGGGACCAGGCUGAAGCCAGAAGCCAGCUUUCAGCGUGCCAAAGCCAAAUGCUGCCAAACUAUAGCCUUGUCUGCUCUACUUGCAGCUAGGCCUAUCUCACAUGACCCUGCACACUGCCAUGGGCAGUUGGUUGGACUUGAUCUUCAAGGUCUUUUCCAACCUGAGCAAUUCUAUGAUUCUAUGAUUCUAAAGCAUGAUGCAGCCACACUGUGGGCUUGCACCCAGAUAAAACAGAGCUGGGAGCAUCUCCCACACCACCAACCCAUUCCCAGGCCUCCUGACUGACUCUCCAAAGCAGUGGAUGAUAU
ensembl:lncRNA